UCUAUCUGGGUUGUAAUAUGGCUAAUAUAGAGUCUAAGUACUUUGGGAAAAGAUAAAUAUUUGAAGUAUAACUUCUACUGUAUUUAUAUUGAUUUUUUGCAUCAUUAUAAAAUCAUUAAGUGUAACCAUUACUAGUUUGGGAACUUGAACUUAUACUUCUAAAACAACCAUAGGCAGGAUGGGUGUGACCUGAUUUAAAUAGGGAUUUGCCAACACCUAUUAUACAUAAAGAAGUGAGGGCUAGGAAUUUGCCCUGAAACUUAAGUGAAAGUUUGAGAACGAAACUUAGCACAGGAGAGAGAGUGAGGUGUUAUUGAUAGAACAAGAAGAAAGCCUGGGAAGGGACUCUCUUCUGGAGGCUCAGUGAGGAAAGCAUUUUAAAAGUGUUGGGUGGGUCAGCACAUGCCAGAGGGUGGAAAAUGUGAGACCUGCAGGUUUGUUUUUAUAUCAGUAGCUAAUGUCCUGAAGGCAGAGAUUGGAUUUACUAACACAAGAUCAACUUAAGCCUCUAGAAGAUGAAUGUGAAGAGGAGAGUGAGUGGAUUUGGGUUUUUGACAACCCCCCUCAAUCUAUCUGUCCUUCCGUCCAUCUGUCUGUCUGUCUGUUAGAUGAAAAAUAAGUACUUGAGGCCCUGCGAUUCUCUUAAGGUAUAAAGAAAAAAUAUUUUUAAUGUCUAGCAAUUCUUAGCCUUGUGUAAGCUGAUAAUUUUGACCCAUCAACGUGUUUGUCUGUUUAGUGAUACUAUGUUUAAGUGAAGAGUCUAGAUUUAGGAAUAAGGAAAGUUGCAGAGAUUAAAAAUUGUUUUUGUUUUUUUUUCUCCGUGUACUUAGUUUGUGCGUGGUUGUUUGCAUGCCAUGUAGUUAGUAGGACACAUGAUGGAUUGAUUUUUCUAGGGGACCACAGUCAGGUCAUCCCUGUGUUUACCUGCUUACUAUCUCAGUGGCCUCAGUUUUGUUUAAAGUGCGGUGUUGUUCAAACGUGUUUUAAUAGCAUCUUGGCAACCAAGGCUGAGGCCUGGGAAACUUAGUCAUGCUUCUGUAGGCUGUGACAAAGCCCUGUCACCAAAAGCAGCUUGGGGAGGAAAGAGUUUAUUUGGCUUACAGGUUAUCAUGCAGGCAAUUCAGUCAGGAACUCAAGUCAGGCAGAACUAGAAGCUGGAACUGAAAUAAAGACGCCAAGGGAAUGUGCUUUACUGAUCUGUUAUCCUGGCUUCCCUAGUUUUCUUUCCUGUUUCUUUUACUUAUUUUUUUUAAUUGAUAAUAGAAUUUCAUACUAUAUAUUUUGAUCCUGGCUUUAUUGUCCCAAGUUCCUCCCAGAUCUUCUAUCCUAAUCUGUAGCAUUUCUUUAACUCUAAUAAGCAGGCAUCUAAGAAUUCUCUUGGUGUUCCUAUUCAUAGCACCACCUUCACAAUAAUGGUAAUGCCUCUUCCCAAAUAAUUAAAGCUUAUGUCAUGUUGACAAAAACAAAACAAAACAAAAAAGCCCAGUUAGGAC
rnacentral:lncRNA from 1 species